UACGUAGGUGGCGAGCGUUGUCCGGAUUUACUGGGCGUAAAGGGCGUGCAGGCGGUUUGCUAAGUCUAGGGUGAAAGCUCCCGGCUCAACCGGGAGAGGUCCUUGGAUACUGACAGACUUGAGGGAGGCAGAGGAGAAUGGAAUUCCCGGUGUAGUGGUGAUAUGCGUAGAUAUCGGGAGGAACACCAGUGGCGAAGGCGGUUCUCUGGGCCUUACCUGACGCUGAGACGCGAAAGCGUGGGGAGCGAACCGG
rnacentral:rRNA from 1 species